rnacentral:RNase_P_RNA from 3 species
CGAGCCGGGCGGACGGCCGCGUGGGGAUCCCCGGAUCCCCCCGAGGAACGUCCGGGCUCCACAGGGCAGGGUGGUGGCUAACGGCCACCCGGGGUGACCCGCGGGACAGUGCCACAGAGAACAGACCGCCGGGGACCGUAUCCGUACGGACCCCGGUAAGGGUGAAACGGUGGUGUAAGAGACCACCAGCGCCUGAGGUGACUCAGGCGGCUAGGUAAACCCCACCCGGAGCAAGGUCAAGAGGGAACACCCCGGUGUUCCUGCGCGGACGUUCGAGGGCUGCUCGCCCGAGUCCGCGGGUAGACCGCACGAGGCCGGUGGCAACGCCGGUCCUAGAUGGAUGGCCGUCGCCCCGCAGGUCGUGAGGCCCGCGGGGAAACAGAACCCGGCGUACGGCCCGGCUCGUCUG